AAUGUAUUCCCUCCGUCCGAAUAUACUUGUCACUUAAAUGGAUUGUAUCUAAAUGUAUUUCUAAAUACAUCCAUUUUUAUUUAUUUUGAUAACAAGUAAUUCCGGACGAAGGGAGUAUAUC
rfam:Triticum aestivum genome assembly, contig: Triticum_aestivum_CS42_TGACv1_scaffold_320581_4BL